UAGGGAAUUUUCCGCAAUGGGCGAAAGCCUGACGGAGCAACGCCGCGUGAGUGAUGAAGGUCUUCGGAUCGUAAAACUCUGUUAUUAGGGAAGAACAAAUGUGUAAGUAACUAUGCACGUCUUGACGGUACCUAAUCAGAAAGCCACGGCUAACUACGUGCCAGCAGCCGCGGUAAUACGUAGGUGGCAAGCGUUAUCUGGGAUGAUUGGGCGUAAAGCGCGCGUAGGCGGUUUUUUAAGUGUGAUGUGAAAGGCCACGGCUCAACCGGGGAGGGUCAUUGGAAGCGGGGGAACUGGAGUGCAGAAGAGGAAGGGGGAAUUCCGGGUGGGGCGGGGAAAUGUGCAGGGGUGUGGGGGAACACCGGUGGGGAAGGCGACUUUCUGGUCUGUAAGUGACGCUGAUGGGCGAAAGCGGGGGGAUCAAACAGG
rnacentral:rRNA from 1 species